CGUUUGUUCCUACCGAUUCCUUUGAAAUUUUGACACAACGCUGCAUUCGAAUACGCACGUGUUUUUAUAUAAUAUACUGUACAUUACGAAAUUCCUCCCACUGGGAGAAGAUGGUUAGGAUUAAGGCUUACUGUAAAGAACUCUGCUUCUAUUAUACUAUUUUAGAUGCGGUUUUUUGUGUUUUUGAUUGCAUUUUAAUAGGGUACGUCAAGAGAAUGUACACUAAGAAAGGAUUUUUCGAAAAAUUCCCCCCCAUGGGGAAAGUGUGUGUUAUACAUUUAUAAUAGAUACAUUUUGAGCCACAACAACGCGUGGCGGGGUCUGCUAAUAUAGUAUACAAUUAUGAAUUCGGACUUUGUUUAAUCAAUAUUUGUUAAAUAUAAAAAUUUUUAAUAAACAUUUUGCUGACUCCAAACUUUUUAUCAGGAAACGUAAAACAAUUAAGUUAAAGAUAAUUUAACUUAUCAAAUGCCGGGAGUUUCCAUGCCAUGUCAACUGUAUUAAAGAAUUUCUGUAUAUUUUUCAAAGAAUUUUCCUAAAUUGAAAUAGUGUUUGAUGAAAAUCGAAUUCAGUUGCCAAAGUAAUUAAGUUCCUACCGUUCUUUCUCAUAUCAUAUAAUUGUGAAUUAGGUUUAUGAUUACAAAUGAUGUAAUAUGGCAUAUAGAUGAAAAGUGUUAAUUGGAAUUUGGAUCUUCGAGGCACACACUACAGGAUCAAAACCUUGCCAUUACGUAAGCUAAUUCGAUCUAUUAACCUAAUUAGAAGAAAAAUUCAUCUUAUAUCGUUACGAUCUAUCAAAACUAAAUAUAAAUUAUGUAGAAAUACGAAAUUAGAUAUCAUUACAUUGCAUUCAUUCAUCGUUGCCUGAAUAUUAAAAGUGUCGAAAUUAAAUAAAGUUACGAUGUAUUUAUUACGCAGAAAAAAAUAGUAUAUACAAUGUGUUUCGUGUUUAUCGCUUCUUUAUUUAUUAUCUUACGUAAUAUUUUCAUUAUCAGAUUAUCAGUCCUCUACCAAAACGUGACUAUUUAUCCAUAAUUAAAACACUUGACACCCAAAUUUUAGGAAUCCAAAACAAUUUACACUGAACUAAUGGAAAAGAAGAUGUCAGGACGAUUUUAAGCUAAGUAUUUUAUAUAUAGCCUAAAUAGAUAAAUAAGUUUUUCUCGGGAUUUUCUUGUUUGUUUGUAUUUUAGCUGUGAAAUCUGUUUAAUUGGGACAGUAAUCUUCAGUCUGAAUAGACUUUACUGUAAUAAAAAACAAUAAAAUUUUUAUAAAUCAAAAUUUAUAUAGGUCGAAGAUAAAUGUGAAGUUACUAAUACAUGAUAUGGAUUCUUCACUCUUUUAAAAAUGUAGUAAUGACUAUUGUAAUUAUUAAUUAUUUACUGUGAAGAUAUAAAAUAUAAAAAUGCAAAUAAAAUAAUGUUGGAGGCAAUUUUCCACAUCAACAAUUAUGAUAAAACUAUUAUACUUAAAGAAUCACAGUUUUUUUCCUUCUAUUGAAAAUUAUUAAUCUAAAUAUGCUAUUUUUUUCGAGUAAUGAAAUUAUAUUUUUAGCAUUAAUAUGAUGAAAAAACCGCAUUGGUUUAAAGGUAAUCCAAUUGCAACAAAAUAUAACUUUCUACACGUGUAUUUAAUAAAUAACUUAUUUAUGUGAGAAUGUAUUUUUCAUACAUAUAAAAACUAAUAUUUUCUGCCAAAACGUUCUUUAUUUUAUAUUCUUGUAAUCAUUAUUAAUACAGUAAUUACAAUUUCCAAUAACACCGGCAUCGAUCUACAUAUAACGUAUAUUUGGAUGUUCGGGCCAUCAAUAAAUGAGAAAUGAAAAAUAAGGCGUACUUGUGUAUAAUGUACUCGUUCUAUUCCUAAGUUUUUCGUAUGGUAUAAAAUAAAAAUACGUAUAUAUAAAUAAUGCGAUGAAAGCACUUUCACACGGGUUAUAAAUAUUCAAAGUCUAUCUAUAGAAAAUAGGAAUAAAAUGAAUUUCGAGCUUAUUUAAAAAAAGAAAAAAAAUCGAAUUUAAAAUAAAUAAUAUAACUAUAUUUUAUUUAUUUGAAAGCGUAUUUCUUUCCGGAAACGUCUCCGAUUAUUUAUAGGUAUGUCUGAAUGUAUGGAGUUGCGUCAAAUUCGAUAAUCGUAACGCGAUUAGUGGGCAAUGAUCUCAUAGCAUCUAAUAAAUUUUAUUUCUUUAUCAUUAACGAUAACGGUGUAUCAAAUCACGUGGUAUAUGCAAAGAUGUCAUUCGGAGAGUAAACUCGAUCGGAGAAAGUCGUAAUUCGUCUUCUAUCCACAAACAUGGAAAACUGGAAAAAGUGGUUAUGCUUCUUUAUUGGUUAUUUCGAAAGUUUAUUAUUUGCCGGUAUCAUUUACGGUUGGCCGAGUUUAGUAUACCUUUUUAAAGAAGAUCACCUUUAUAGUCACCUGUGUUCUAAUAUCACUGUAGCGGUAGAAUCUAAUGUAACUGUUGCAGUCCACGCGGAAAUGUACACCAAGAAGACACAGGUAAACUAUAUAAAUUGCUACGAAGAAGAUAGCAUGUACAAUUUGGCAUUUAGUAUAGGUACCUGUAUACUGUCCACUUCUGUCUUAUUUGGUGCAUUGAUAUUAGAUUAUAUGGGUUUAAGGUUUACUAGGGUAUUAAACAGCAUCAUUUUGGCAUUAAGCUUUUUAUUAUUUGGCUUGUGUAAUAAAGAAAGACCGUAUCUUAUAUUUUUCGGAGUAGUUUUAUUAGGAUUAGGAGGGGGUCAACUUCGCUUAACAGAUCUACAAAUUGCAGAUAUAUUUCCGAAAGCAAAAGCUACUGUAAUUGCGCUGUAUGGCGGAGCCUACACGGGAUCGUCUAUCGUAUUUCUGUUUUUUAAAAUAGGUUACGAAUUUGGAAUCUCUUGGCGCACUUCCUUCUACUUUUGCAGUAUAUUAUCGUUACUCAUGCUAAUUCCUACAUUUUUAUUAUUUCCGAAGAUUAAAUUUAAUUCAGAGGUGCAUAAAUCCAACAAGGUAACUCAAAAUGUAAUCCAUAACGAUGAAAAGACUCCUCUGAUCGUCUCUACCAAUACUAAACAUAAAAUUGAUCAUGAUCAUCCACAGAGUCAAAUUAGUAUUGAUAAAUCGGUAGAAUACAUGAAAUCUUUGCCAUUAUCUCAUUCAUUAACUUCUUUCUCGUAUCUCAUCCACGUUUACUCUAUUUCUAUUGCCUGUCUGGUGGUGAUGAUAUAUAACGGAUCUUUUAAUGUAUGGAUUAGUGCCGUGACGAAAAACAACGAAACUGUAAGUUAUUUGGUGGAGGUGUUUGGUUCCAUACAAAUAUUAAUGGUCAUUAUCGGACCGGUGGUAGGCACUAUGAUGGAUUAUGCCGUGAAUAAAGCUAAUACAGUAAAAGAAGCCAUUAGCAGAAGGAAAAAAAGACAGAAGGGAGGAUUUUGGGCUUUGCUAAUAACGUUUAUUGUAACAAUAGCAUUACUGACUUGUACUUUUUUUUCGAAUAUUAAUGCGAUUUACGUAUCCAUAUUUAUUUAUCUAUUGGCUCGAUCUAUGUCUAUCUCCGCUCAACCGGCAUAUAUACGAAAUUUCAGAUAUAUAUGUAUAGUGGUGUCAUCUAUUUCGGCACCAGUGCAUUUCCGGACUUAAGCUAACAGAACUAUUUUUAUUCUUUGUCCUGCCAGGAAUCCAUUCCGAAGUUUGUCCCCAUAGUUUGGAACAACCCUGUAUGUAUAUAGUGCAGUAUAUUCAUAUAUUGUUACAUAAAUUUCAGGUUCCCGCAGCAUCAUUUCAAUGUUUUGACUGGAAUAUCCGGAGUAGCCAUAGGUUUUCAAGCAUUGAUACAAUAUUUUUUCUUUAUUUGGAUAGGAAAUAACCCAUUAUGGGCUCGAUCGACAUUGCUCAUAUUAGCAACUAUCAA
rnacentral:misc_RNA from 1 species